GACGGAGGGUGCGAGCGUUGUCCGGAAUCACUGGGCGUAAAGGGCGCGUAGGCGGCUCAUGAAGGCUGUGGUGAAAGUCCGGGGCUCAACCUCGGAUCGGCCGUGGCGACUCGUGGGCUGGAGCACUGUAGAGGCGGGUGGAAUUCCGGGUGUAGCGGUGGAAUGCGUAGAGAUCCGGAAGAACACCAGUGGCGAAGGCGGCCCGCUGGGCAGUGGCUGACGCUGAGAAGCGAAAGCAUGGGGAGCGAACAGG
rnacentral:rRNA from 1 species